GAUAACUUCACUGCGGUAUCCAGACGGAGGAGAAGAGGGAGGGGCUGGGAGAGAAAAAGAGACAACACCAAACCAAACAUCUCUAAUAGUGAGCAAAAGGAGCAAGCAACAUUCUUUAUAAAUCCUUGAAAGAUCAUUUAAUUCCAGCGGUAUCCUGGAAUGCCUGCAUUGUAAUAAAACUCCAGUGUGUAUCUAGGUACCAUGGGAUUUAUUAGCUUGCACUCAGCUCUGGCAAUCAGCAGCCGGGGUCAGAUGUGCCUGGCGAUGAUGACAUCAUCAUUUUUGGCCGCUCUCUCCCGCAAGUGUUGAGUGAGAUAUUUCAAGAUGGCCAGGCAAGGUGAGACCCUUCACAGUGCAGAAGUGCUCAUGCCAUUUCCACUUACUACAAACAUUCUGGUGAACAGAUGAAAAAAUUGGUGGCAAGAACAUUCAUGAAAAUAGCUCAGAAGGUUCCCAGCUGCCACCAAAGGAGGCUGGAUCUGGGAGUAUACCAAAAUGCUAACUAGAAACGUUGCUGGGUUUUCCCAGUACUAGCUCACAAUGGAGAGCAAGCCCACCGGCUUUCAGUGAAAGAAGUGUACUUUGCUUUUUAACUAUUUGAAGUUCUAUUAAACAACUUUGUUGCUUCAGCAACUAUUUCCUUUCCAGCAAAAACUCAAAAAUAUUGUGAUGAAAACUGAAGAAAAAUAAAGUGAUGGCAU